UACGUAGGUGGCAAGCGUUGUCCGGAUUUACUGGGCGUAAAGAGCGCGCAGGCGGUCGUUCAAGUCGCGUGUGAAAGCCCCGGCUCAACUGGGGAGGGUCACGCGAUACUGAUCGACUCGAAGGCAGGAGAGGGUAGUGGAAUUCCCGGUGUAGUGGUGAAAUGCGUAGAUAUCGGGAGGAACACCAGUGGCGAAGGCGACUACCUGGCCUGUUCUGACGCUGAGGCGCGAAAGCUAGGGGAGCAAACGG
rnacentral:rRNA from 1 species